rnacentral:rRNA from 1 species
GCUCUUAUGAAGUUAGCGGCGGACGGGUGAGUAACACGUGGGUAACCUGCCCAUAAGACUGGGAUAACUCCGGGAAACCGGGGCUAAUACCGGAUAACAUUUUGCACCGCAUGGUGCGAAAUUCAAAGGCGGCUUCGGCUGUCACUUAUGGAUGGACCCGCGUCGCAUUAGCUAGUUGGUGAGGUAACGGCUCACCAAGGCAACGAUGCGUAGCCGACCUGAGAGGGUGAUCGGCCACACUGGGACUGAGACACGGCCCAGACUCCUACGGGAGGCAGCAGUAGGGAAUCUUCCGCAAUGGACGAAAGUCUGACGGAGCAACGCCGCGUGAGUGAUGAAGGCUUUCGGGUCGUAAAACUCUGUUGUUAGGGAAGAACAAGUGCUAGUUGAAUAAGCUGGCACCUUGACGGUACCUAACCAGAAAGCCACGGCUAACUACGUGCCAGCAGCCGCGGUAAUACGUAGGUGGCAAGCGUUAUCCGGAAUUAUUGGGCGUAAAGCGCGCGCAGGUGGUUUCUUAAGUCUGAUGUGAAAGCCCACGGCUCAACCGUGGAGGGUCAUUGGAAACUGGGAGACUUGAGUGCAGAAGAGGAAAGUGGAAUUCCAUGUGUAGCGGUGAAAUGCGUAGAGAUAUGGAGGAACACCAGUGGCGAAGGCGACUUUCUGGUCUGUAACUGACACUGAGGCGCGAAAGC